rnacentral:sRNA from 1 species
ACAGACUGGUUGAAGAGCAUGUAUCAGAGCCAUAAGACAGCUGCGACUAUGCGAUGGCAUGCUGAGCACCAAUCAAAGGAGGGAGAAAUGAAUCAUCCUUCAGAUGCGGCAGAGUGGAGAUAUUUCCAAGAGUUACAUCCCCGGUUUGCUGAAGAACCCCGUAACGUUUAUCUCGGGUUGUGUACUGAUGG